GGACCCGCACAAGUAGUGGAGCAUGUGGUUUAAUUCGAAGAUACGCGCAGAACCUUACCAACACUUGACAUGUUCGUCGCGACUCUGAGAGAUUAGAGUUUUCGGUUCGGCCGGACGAAACACAGGUGCUGCAUGGCUGUCGUCAGCUCGUGUCGUGAGAUGUUGGGUUAAGUCCCGCAACGAGCGCAACCCUCACUUUUAGUUGCCAUCAUUAAGUUGGGCACUCUGAAAGAACUGCCAGUGAUAAGCUGGAGGAAGGUGGGGAUGACGUCAAGUCCUCAUGGCCCUUACGUGUUGGGCUACACACGUGCUACAAUGGUAUCUACAACAGGAAGCAAGACUGCGAAGUUAAGCAAAUCCUUAAAAGAUACCUCAGUUCGGAUUGCACUCUGCAACUCGAGUGCAUGAAGCUGGAAUUACUAGUAAUCG
rnacentral:rRNA from 1 species